rnacentral:rRNA from 1 species
UUUGAUUUGAUGCAAAGCAAAAAACCUUACCAUGCUUGACAUUCUGCAAAUCCUCUUGAAAGAGAAGGGUGCCUUUGGGAACUCGAACACAGGUGGUGCAUGGCUUGUUAGGGGUGAAAUGGCACUCGAACCCCAGGUGGGUAGGUAGA